UCGCACCCAGUCUCGCUCGAACAGCUGCCUCCGACUACGCUAGGCCACACAGAGCAGACUACCCGCAGCCACACACCCCGCGCGCGACUCUCGCAACUCGCAACCCGCAACCCGAGUCGACAACCCAGCCGGUUCGCGCCCUACCACCGUACAGUACUCUCCGAGGGACCCUAGUAGGCUUCAAGCUCGCCGCCAGCACCCGGCCAGCUCCCUCCCAGCGAGGACCUAGCUCGUUCAGUACAGCACACCCGGCCUCGAGUUGCGUCCGAUAAUCGCUACGCCUGCCGCGGUCUCUGUACGAUAGAGCUCGAGUUCCUCCCUGCUCUUGACAACCAAGAAGAGCCGCCUGGGACACCCGCCUCCGUCCAACCGGAUCCCACCUCGGUCUGCUCGUCCCCGAGCAGUCACCACCCACUCGUAGCUAGCCUCGACUAGCGCACCCCUUUACCCGGAGGAACCGACGUCUCACGCCGCAGCCUCUUUCGACAAAGCGCGUCCGAUAAUCGCUACGCCAGUCGAGAGCUACGCCGUGUCCACGUCCUUCCCCUCCACCGACCUGCCUCACCCAGCUUCGGUAUCGACGACGCUCACGAUGCAGCCUUACCAGCCGUACCAGUACGGCUCACU
rnacentral:misc_RNA from 1 species